rnacentral:rRNA from 1 species
GAUGAACGCUAGCGAUAGGCUUAACACAUGCAAGUCGAGGGGCAGCACAAGGUAGCUUGCUAUCUGGGUGGCGACCGGCGCACGGGUGCGUAACGCGUAUGCAACUUGCCCUAUACAGGAGGAUAACCCGUCGAAAGACGGACUAAUACUGCGUAUGCUCACAACUUGGCAUCAAGUGGUGAGGAAAGAAAUUCGGUAUAGGAUAGGCAUGCGUCCCAUUAGCUUGUUGGUGAGGUAACGGCUCACCAAGGCAACGAUGGGUAGGGGAACUGAGAGGUUUAUCCCCCACACUGGUACUGAGACACGGACCAGACUCCUACGGGAGGCAGCAGUGAGGAAUAUUGGUCAAUGGGCGCGAGCCUGAACCAGCCAAGUCGCGUGAAGGAGGACUGUCUUAUGGAUUGUAAACUUCUUUUAUACGGGAAUAACAAGAGUCACGUGUGACUGCCUGCAUGUACCGUAUGAAUAAGCAUCGGCUAACUCCGUG